rnacentral:tRNA from 1 species
GGGGAUUUAGUUCAGUGGCAUAAACGCCUGCCUACCAAGCACGAGGUCAUGAGUUCAAAUCCCCA